rnacentral:rRNA from 1 species
UACGGGGGGGGAGCAAGCGUUGUUCGGAUUUACUGGGCGUAAAGCGCGUGUAGGCGGCUUUGCAAGUCGGAUGUGAAAGCCCACGGCUCAACCGUGGAAGUGCAUCCGAAACUGCAUGGCUGGAGUCUCGGAGAGGAAGGUGGAAUGCUUGGUGUAGAGGUGAAAUUCGUAGAUAUCAAGCAGAACACCUGCGGCGAAGGCGGCCUUCUGGACGAUGACUGACGCUGAGACGCGAAAGCGUGGGGAGCAAACAGG